rnacentral:rRNA from 1 species
AGAGUUUGAUCAUGGCUCAGAUUGAACGCUGGCGGCAUGCCUUACACAUGCAAGUCGAACGGUAACGCGGGGCAACCUGGCGACGAGUGGCGAACGGGUGAGUAAUACAUCGGAACGUGCCCAGUAGUGGGGGAUAGCCCGGCGAAAGCCGGAUUAAUACCGCAUACGACCUACGGGUGAAAGCGGGGGACCGCAAGGCCUCGCGCUAUUGGAGCGGCCGAUGUCAGAUUAGCUAGUUGGUGGGGUAAAGGCCUACCAAGGCGACGAUCUGUAGCUGGUCUGAGAGGACGACCAGCCACACUGGGACUGAGACACGGCCCAGACUCCUACGGGAGGCAGCAGUGGGGAAUUUUGGACAAUGGGGGCAACCCUGAUCCAGCCAUGCCGCGUGCGGGAAGAAGGCCUUCGGGUUGUAAACCGCUUUUGUCGGGGAAGAAACGGUCUGCGUAAUACCGCGGGCUAAUGACGGUACCCGAAGAAUAAGCACCGGCUAACUACGUGCCAGCAGCCGCGGUAAUAC